rnacentral:rRNA from 1 species
GGAAUCUUCCGCAAUGGACGAAAGUCUGACGGAGCAACGCCGCGUGAGUGAAGAAGGUUUUCGGAUCGUAAAACUCUGUUGUCAGAGAAGAACAAGUUGGAGAGUAACUGCUCCAGCCUUGACGGUAUCUGACCAGAAAGCCACGGCUAACUACGUGCCAGCAGCCGCGGUAAUACGUAGGUGGCAAGCGUUGUCCGGAUUUAUUGGGCGUAAAGCGAGCGCAGGCGGUUCCUUAAGUCUGAUGUGAAAGCCCACGGCUCAACCGUGGAAGGUCAUUGGAAACUGGGGAACUUGAGUGCAGAAGAGGAGAGUGGAAUUCCAUGUGUAGCGGUGAAAUGCGUAGAUAUAUGGAGGAACACCAGUGGCGAAGGCGACUCUCUGGUCUGUAACUGACGCUGAGGCUCGAAAGCGUGGGGAGCAAACAGGAUUAGAUACCCUAG